CAUGAGUUAUGUCAUGUUAUCGACAUGUGAAUUCAUAGCAUGUCAGAAGGCAGACCCGGAGAACUGAAACAUCUUAGUACCCGGAGGAAGAGAAAGAAAAAUCGAUUCCCUGAGUAGCGGCGAGCGAAACGGGAAGAGCCCAAACCAACAAGCUUGCUUGUUGGGGUUGUAGGACACUCUAUACGGAGUUACAAAAGAACAUGUUAGACGAAUCAUCUGGAAAGAUGAAUCAAAGAAGGUAAUAAUCCUGUAGUCGAAAACAUAUUCUCUCUUGAGUGGAUCCUGAGUACGACGGAGCACGUGAAAUUCCGUCGGAAUCUGGGAGGACCAUCUCCUAAGGCUAAAUACUCUCUAGUGACCGAUAGUGAACCAGUACCGUGAGGGAAAGGUGAAAAGUACCCCGGAAGGGGAGUGAAAGAGAACUUGAAACCGUGUGCUUACAAGUAGUCAGAGCCCGUUAAUGGGUGAUGGCGUGCCUUUUGUAGAAUGAACCGGCGAGUUACGAUCUGAUGCAAGGUUAAGCAGCAAAUGUGGAGCCGCAGCGAAAGCGAGUCUGAAUAGGGCGUUGAGUAUUUGGUCGUAGACCCGAAACCAGGUGAUCUACCCUUGGUCAGGUUGAAGUUCAGGUAACACUGAAUGGAGGACCGAACCGACUUACGUUGAAAAGUGAGCGGAUGAACUGAGGGUAGCGGAGAAAUUCCAAUCGAACUUGGAGAUAGCUGGUUCUCUCCGAAAUAGCUUUAGGGCUAGCCUCAAGUGAUGAUUAUUGGAGGUAGAGCACUGUUUGGACGAGGGGCCCCUCUCGGGUUACCGAAUUCAGACAAACUCCGAAUGCCAAUUAAUUUAACUUGGGAGUCAGAACAUGGGUGAUAAGGUCCGUGUUCGAAAGGGAAACAGCCCAGACCACCAGCUAAGGUCCCAAAAUAUAUGUUAAGUGGAAAAGGAUGUGGCGUUGCCCAGACAACUAGGAUGUUGGCUUAGAAGCAGCCAUCAUUUAAAGAGUGCGUAAUAGCUCACUAGUCGAGUGACACUGCGCCGAAAAUGUACCGGGGCUAAACAUAUUACCGAAGCUGUGGAUUGUCCUUUGGACAAUGGUAGGAGAGCGUUCUAAGGGCGUCGAAGCAUGAUCGCAAGGACAUGUGGAGCGCUUAGAAGUGAGAAUGCCGGUGUGAGUAGCGAAAGACGGGUGAGAAUCCCGUCCACCGAUUGACUAAGGUUUCCAGAGGAAGGCUCGUCCGCUCUGGGUUAGUCGGGUCCUAAGCUGAGGCCGACAGGCGUAGGCGAUGGAUAACAGGUUGAUAUUCCUGUACCACCUAGUAUCGUUUUAAUCGAUGGGGGGACGCAGUAGGAUAGGCGAAGCGUGCUGUUGGAGUGCACGUCCAAGCAGUAAGGCUGAGUGUUAGGCAAAUCCGGCACUCAUAAGGCUGAG
rnacentral:rRNA from 1 species